CCUGGCGGCACUAGCGCGGUGGUCCCACCUGACCCCAUGCCCAACUCAGAAUUGAAACGCCGUAGCGCCGAUGGUAGUGUGGUGUCUCCCCAUGUGAGAGUAGGGAACUGCCAGGC
rnacentral:rRNA from 1 species